GGCAGAGGAGGCUCCACCUGCGCUCCCCGCUCUCUGCAUCUGCAGCUCCUUCGGGACCAUCGUCCCCCAUCCCGCAGCCAGAAAGAGGCGUAGGAUUCAUCCGAACAUUCUGGAGCCUUGAAUAGGACCAGGAAGAGGAGGGACAAAGGAGG